AGUGAACGCUGGCGGUAGGCCUAACACAUGCAAGUCGAACGGCAGCACAGUAAGAGCUUGCUCUUACGGGUGGCGAGUGGCGGACGGGUGAGGAAUACAUCGGAAUCUACUUUUUCGUGGGGGAUAACGUAGGGAAACUUACGCUAAUACCGCAUACGACCUACGGGUGAAAGCAGGGGAUCUUCGGACCUUGCGCGAUUGAUUGAGCCGAUGUCGGAUUAGCUAGUUGGCGGGGUAAAGGCCCACCAAGGCGACGAUCCGUAGCUGGUCUGAGAGGAUGAUCAGCCACACUGGAACUGAGACACGGUCCAGACUCCUACGGGAGGCAGCAGUGGGGAAUAUUGGACAAUGGGCGCAAGCCUGAUCCAGCCAUACCGCGUGGGUGAAGAAGGCCUUCGGGUUGUAAAGCCCCUUUGUUGGGAAAGAAAAGCAGCAGGUUAAUACCCCGCUGUUCUGACGGUACCCAAAGAAUAAGCACCGGCUAACUUCGUG
rnacentral:rRNA from 1 species